rnacentral:rRNA from 1 species
UCAGACGAUGCGUCAUGCAUAUCAAUAAGCGGAGGAAAAGAAACUAAUCAAGGAUUCCCCUAGUAACGGCGAGUGAAGCGGGAAGAGCUCAAAUUUGAAAUCUUAAAGGGUUUCCCUUUACGAAUUGUAGUUUAAAGAAGUGUUUUCUGUUGAGGUUUUGGUAAAAGUUCUUUGGAAUAGGACAUCAUAGAGGGUGAGAAUCCCGUAUUUGACCUUUACUUUCAACUUUGUGAUACACUUUCAACGAGUCGGAUUGUUUGGGAAUGCAGUCCAAAAUGGGUGGUAAAUUUCAUCUAAAGCUAAAUAUUGGCGAGAGACCGAUAGCGAACAAGUACCGUGAGGGAAAGAUGAAAAGAACUUUGAAAAGAGAGUUAAACAGUACGUGAAAUUGUCAAAAGGGAGGCGUUUGACACCAGUGUUGUUUUUCUGAAAAUCAAUUAAAGAACUGUUUAUGCUAAGCUGUUUAGACUUUAUCAGCUAUCUGUUUAGUUUUGAGCUUUUCUUUAAUGCACUUUUCAGUUAACAAGUCAACAUCAAUUUCUUUUGCUGUAAAAAAGCUUGAGGAAGGUGGCUUGAGAUUCGUCUUAAGUGUUUAUAGCCUCUUGCCUAUGCAGUCGGAGAGAUUGAGGUCUGCAGCGUAGAUCCUUCGGGGCUAAAUGCAUUUGUGCUAAGUUAUAGCAUUUUAUAGACAACUUGUUGACUAUGAUUUGUCUUGUAGCUUACUCGCUUAUGUUAUUUUACCUACGCUUAGGAUGUUGAAUCUGUGCGAGACUAC